AGCUUUGCGCAGUGGCAGUAUCGUAGCCAAUGAGGUUUAUCCGAGGCGCGAUUAUUGCUAAUUGAAAAAAAAUAAAAAUAAAAU
ensembl:snRNA U4 U4 spliceosomal RNA